UUUCAUCUUCCUUUUGUACAAGUGUAUACAAGGGCUGAAACAAAGAGACUACAGUGUUGAAACAACAGCUCCAAGAACCUUAGAAGUCCCUCUGUUGAAAUGCAAGGGCUUUGGAGGAAUGCCUCCGUCAGCUGCUUUAACAUUCUUCAGUUGGAAGCAAGCCAAAGGAACAGGCAGAAAUCUAUGUUUUAUAAAGAGAACCCGUGUUUGCACCAGAUACGGAAGAAUCGUAGCAAGAAUGGUAAUGAAAGGCUUCCCGUUCGGGUUGUUUCGGCAAUGUUGUCUAAAGCCUUGGAAGAGCAAACGAACGGAUCGGAUGAAUAAUGUACCAGGAGUCGUCUUGAGGGUUCGUUCCAAAGCUUCACCCUCCCGACACGCAAUGUGGCAUAGCAUGGCCAAGACCGCUUGCCUUGGCUUGACUUCAGAAGUCCCAAACUUAUAGCAGAAGAUGGAGCAGGAAAAAGGCCAAGUGGUCAAAGGUCCGUUCCCAAAGAUGGCAAGCCAGGCAUGGGCCAACUUUGGCCCUCCCUCCAGGUGUUUUGGACUUCGACUCCCCACAAUUCCUAACAGCCUUCUCAGAACUGCCUUCUCUCUUGAUAUCUGCUAGGAGCAAGGGAGGACAAUUCUUUAAAUUAGCCUCCCAACUGUCUUUCGGGUUGCUUAAGUCAACAGCAAGCUAGGCUAUUAAUGGUUGGGAGCUCACUCCGACCCGGAUUGGCUUCAAACUCAGUAGUGAUUUAUUGCAGCCGGCUACUAACCAGCUGUGCCACAGCCUGGAGUUGGAAGAAUUUCUCAAGUUGCUCCUGACAUGGGAAAAAAGCCCCCUUCUUAACUAGGUGUCAAUUGUAAGUUGGAUGUUUGUAACUUGGGGACUGCCUGUAGCAGCGAAAUCAACACCAUCUAGGCAGGAAGGUUUUCCUUUUCGUUUGCUAUUGUGAGGCUGUUGGGUUUUUUUCCCUCUUUGGCACAGCACGUCGAGGGAGCCCCGUUCCAAUUAAAAGUCAAAGAAAUUGACAGGAAACUAGGCUUUGGCAGGAGUUAAUUCAAACU
rnacentral:lncRNA from 11 species